rnacentral:rRNA from 1 species
UACAGAGGGUGCAAGCGUUAAUCGGAAUUACUGGGCGUAAAGGGUGCGUAGGUGGCUAUAUAAGUUAGGCGUGAAAUCCCCGGGCUCAACCUGGGAACUGCGUUUAGUACUGUAAGGCUAGAGUAUGGGAGAGGGAAGUGGAAUUUCCGGUGUAGCGGUGAAAUGCGUAGAUAUCGGAAGGAACAUCAGUGGCGAAGGCGACUUCCUGGACUAAUACUGACACUGAGGCACGAAAGCGUGGGGAGCAAACAGG